UGUUGAGUCAUGGACACAAAAGCGUCCACGCCUGUGCGAACUGUGUGAGUAUGUGUUUUUAGUAUUCUAUCUCGUUUCGCAUGUUGUUUGUUUCCUUGAACUUGUGAAUUUGUUUUAGCGCAAGAGGAGGAAGAUAUGUGAAUGGUUAUUAGUUGUGUAACUCCAGUUUCUGAUCUAUGGAAAGUGGUGAAACGUCUUCACGAAAUACAAUUUCAUUCGUUUUCCUCCCUUGCAUUGGCACGCUGUGAGCCGUGUCGACUUCCAAAUGAGGUUUGUGCAUCUUGAUUAUUAUACGUUUAAUGAUAGAUACGGAGGUAUCUUUGUCAGAGGUUCCCAUGCGGACUGUCUCGUGCAAGAAGAAGAAGAAUUGUAAAGAAUCCGUAAGUGGCCCUAGAAGACGCAGUCAUCGUGUGAGGUGUUGUCGGCAGGAACGAAGAGUCGAAGUUGUUGAAGAAGUCGUGUGACAUUUGUAUUGUUUCUGGUUAUAUACAACGCUAUUUCACAUAUCUAUGUAUAUAUAUAUAUAUUAUUAUUAUAUUAUUAUAUAUUAUUAUAUUAAAUCUUCAGUUGGUUUAGUUGAAUGUUCAGUAAUGUAAUUUUCACAAGGUGGUUUUGUAUAUUAGAUGAGUAGUUGUUCGAUAUAAUAAUAUGUGUAUAUAUAUAUAUAUACAUUUCACAAUGUAAUUUUCCAUUAUGUAAAAUAUAUAUAUGCAUAUGUAUAUGUGC
rnacentral:misc_RNA from 1 species